rnacentral:rRNA from 1 species
AUUGAACGCUGGCGGCAUGCCUUACACAUGCAAGUCGAACGGCAGCACGGGUGCUUGCACCUGGUGGCGAGUGGCGAACGGGUGAGUAAUACAUCGGAACAUGUCCUGUAGUGGGGGAUAGCCCGGCGAAAGCCGGAUUAAUACCGCAUACGAUCUACGGAUGAAAGCGGGGGACCUUCGGGCCUCGCGCUAUAGGGUUGGCCGAUGGCUGAUUAGCUAGUUGGUGGGGUAAAGGCCUACCAAGGCGACGAUCAGUAGCUGGUCUGAGAGGACGACCAGCCACACUGGGACUGAGACACGGCCCAGAAUCCUACGGGAGGCAGCAGUGGGGAAUGUUGGACAAUGGGCGAAAGCCUGAUACAGCAAUGCCGCGUGUGUGAAGAAGGCCUUCGGGUUGUAAAGCACUUUUGUCCGGAAAGAAAUCCUUGGCCCUAAUACGGUCGGGGGAUGACGGUACCGGAAGAAUAAGCACCGGCUAACUACGUG